UAUCUCUUGGAGAAAGAAUCCUGUGACAUUACUACAACUGCAUAGUGUAAUGCUCCAUAUGGCAGCUACUAACCUGGGUCCUGGAGUGAAGACACUGUGGGAUAGAGCCAUACCUAAUCAAUGAUUAUGUGUAAAACGAGACCUUUGUGAUUACAGCCAGCCCACCACCAUAACCCAGGAUAAUUUCUUCAUCUCAAGAUCUUUAAUUUAAUC